UACGGGGGGGAGCAAGCGUUGUUCGGAUUUACUGGGCGUAAAGGGCGCGUAGGCGGCGUGACAAGUCACUUGUGAAAUCUCCGGGCUUAACUCGGAACGGUCAAGCGAUACUGUCGUGCUAGAGUACAGAAGGGGCAACUGGAAUUCUCGGUGUAGCGGUGAAAUGCGUAGAUAUCGAGAGGAACACCUGCGGCGAAGGCGGGUUGCUGGGCUGAUACUGACGCUGAGGCGCGAAAGCUAGGGGAGCGAACGGG
rnacentral:rRNA from 1 species